UACGAAAGGAGCAGGUGUUAUUCAGAUUAACUGGGCGUAAAGGGUUCGUAGGUGGCCAACUAAGUCAGACGUGAAAUCCCUCAGCUUAACUGGGGAACUGCGUCUGAUACUGGAUGGCUUGAGUGCAGGAGAGGAAUGCGGAAUUCCAGGUGUAGCGGUGAAAUGCGUAGAUAUCUGGAGGAACACCGGUGGCGAAGGCGGCAUUCUGGACUGUAACUGACACUGAGGAACGAAAGCCAGGGGAGCAAACGGG
rnacentral:rRNA from 1 species